rnacentral:rRNA from 1 species
ACGGAGGAGGCAAGCGUUGUUCGGAUUUAUUGGGCGUAAAGGGCGCGUAGGCGGGUCAGCAAGUCUGGCGUGAAAUCUCCACCGCUCACCGGGGAGAGGUCGCUGGAAACUACUGACCUGGAGUUCGGCAGAGGACCAUGGAAUUCCAGGUGUAGCGGUGGAAUGCGUAGAUAUCUGGAAGAACACCUGUGGCGAAGGCGGUGGUCUGGGCCGAAACUGACGCUGAGGCGCGAAAGCUAGGGGAGCAAACGG